AUGGUUCAUUACUCAUAACUAAUCUAUAUGUCAAAACUUGGACAACUAUUUAGCCCUUGAAUUAUCUUAUAAAUUGACAAUGAUGAUGUUUUGAUGCAGUCUGCAAUUUUGGUUUUGUAGCAGCUGCUGUAGAACAGGAUUUUAUCACAUAUCCAGAGAAGGUUCUUGAAAUGAGGAAAGGCUUUAUUGUGCUCGGCAAGGAUGAUGAUUUUUGUGCAUGAGCUAGGACUAGCAACAGCAGUUGGCGGAACCAGGAUGGAAGUCAUAUUGCCUCCUUUUAUUGAAGCUGCUAUUUCAGGUUUUGGAUUGGAUUAUAGCGAGCUAAUGUAGUACUAAGGGAUAUAGACAACAAGGUCCACCUAGACCAUAAAUCACAUUGUUUGUGACAUCAGCACAUCCAAUUGUAACUGUAGUCCCUCAUUUGUAUGACGUUACAGCCAACAUUUAACACCCACUGUUCGUAAUAUAUACAUGAUAUCCACUGACCAAAUUCAGAUAUAUGGAAUCCCAAAAUCAGUUCUGCAACUUGAGCAAGGUAUGUGGCCAUCUAACUUAAUCCUUGCAUACAGUAGAAGAUCUAUCCUACAAACAUAUAUCAUCUACUUUUCUGAAUUUCACUGGCAUCCCUUAGCUGUGUUUGUGGGUCGAAAACAUGUGUAUACUACACUUUGCGCAGGCAGCAUCCCUAGAGAAUAUAUUGCUCAGCGUUAUGUACCUAAUAAACAUCUGAUAAAUAGAGGCAUUUUCUUUCAUCUCGAUCCGAACACUCCUAUUUGGUGUUGGUGCUCUUUCUAAGUAACUGUAUGUUCAAGAAUUGAUCCAAAUUUAAAGGAUAAGAAAGUUUACAUUUUCUUAUAGGGCUCGGACCGAAUAAAGUCUGAUCUGGCUUGCUGCUGUGUUGUUUGUAAUAUAAAAACAACCAUAAUUGUGGAGGAGUGAGUCAUUCUCUCAUGGGGAUUUGUUUGCUUAAUAGUAGAAUUCCAAUUGCUUUUGGAUUUAUAUGAUGCAGCUUACAUACUCCCAUCACCCAGUAACAUAUCAAUAUCAGUUACUGCAUCGUACCGGGUUUGUAUUAUGCAUCCCUACUGAAAGUUCCAUUGUUAAAUAGAAACGAAGAUUACAAUUAUAGAUGAUAGAUAUAUGUAAUUGUGCGAUGCAUUCUCACUGCUUCCAGUAGAUACUAUCAUUUCAGAGUUCACCUAAAAUUUGCAAUGUUCAAAUUUUUGGGAUCAAAAUACAACUUUUUUUAAAUUUAAGCCAAUAUAAAGUGUGUGCAGGUUGACUUUUAAAACAUUUUUGCUUACAAGAAGCUUAUCAGUUGUAAUGUUUAGCACCUACAUAACCUGAUGGUCCUGUAGUGACUUGGGAUUGGCGAUUAAAGAAACAUGGGUAUCAAGCAUAUUAAUGUGGGAAGUAGAUAUACAAUAUGUUAUAAAGGAGAAGACAAGUAAAUAUUGAGUGUGAAAGAUCAGUACGAUUUUUUUACUAUCAUAUGAAUUAUUGAAUUUAAUCUGGUAUUCAAUCCCUCAACAUUAUAUUUAAUACAUGCUACUACACCAUUACUUAUCUCUACUAUAAAAGGAGAAUUUGACAAGUAAUCAAGCAAGUCAGCACUAUCAUCGAUGGAAGUUGUCGUGCGGAGAUGGAAGUUGACAAGUAAUUUUCUCCAUGAAGUUGAUCUGAUGCGAAGCUUGUGCCAGAUAAAAGGACCAAUGAAGGAAGAGAAACAAAUCACAACCCUUUAGUUCAUGGUCUAGGAGCAGGGAGUUAAUUAUCCGCUUUCAAGUAUUUGUUGCCAAAGUGAGCAUCUAAUUACAGGAAUUCUGUGAGGGCUUCUCUACACCGGUACGGUCUCUCGCUGGUACACGAUUUGAGGCAUAGGAGGGAGGGGCACGUUGCGAUGUCGUCUUCGGUCACGGCUAUAGCUUAUGAGAAGAAUGGGGUUUAUGCUUGGCAGACUGACCCAUGGUUAGCAAGUCAUUAUUGCCGCCUCCGCUUCCCAAGUUGCCUCGGCUUGCUGUUGGUGUGUGCUGCUUCUGCAGCCCCUGCCGGCCGCCUCUUAGGUUCGGUUUUUCUGCCACUACUGAAGUUUCCAUUGCCUCGGCAAGGCGUCGUCGUCUUACUUGCAAGGCACACAUUGCACCGCGGGCAACAUCUUGCUAUGCAUGGCCACUCAUGUCAAAGCUGGGUUCCAGUUUGACGACCUCUCUACCAAGUCUCCAUGUUCUUCUUUCCUGUACUUUCUCCAUCUGCUGUUAUACUCUCUUGCAAGUACGGCUUAACCAGUUUGAUGUCAUGUUGCUUUAGCAGUUGUGACGUAUGUGCAGGAUAGAUAAUGUUUCAUUGGUAGCGCACACAGUGCAUCUAGAGAAGACAAUUGCUUUCAUCGGCAAACAUGGUGGACAUUCAGCUAGAAUACAUAUGCAUUUUCCAUAUACUUCAGAGUUCUAUCUCUCAAGGGAGCUGCAUUUUUUUAGAAAGGGAAUAACACAUAUUGGUUGUUUUCAUUGUAUUAGCCACAUCUAUUGUGCGUCUCAAUCAUUUAAAUUUUGGGCAUUGUACUAUCAUGAAUCAGUUUUGCAAUAAAUUUGUAGAAGUUUUUGCCCCCAAGAAUAUAAUGAGAAAUAUUUGCUGCAACUAAACUUUGUUGAGCAUGUCUAUUAACACUUUCCUCUUCUCCUAUUAGAUGUAAUGAUCUAGACCAAAGCAACCCUCAUGUAUAUUGAUACUAUACUAGAAGGCCACCGAAGAAUUUUACGGAACAAGAGAAGAUGGCGUGCACCAUAUCUUUAAGAUGACUUCCCUCACCAUGUGGCAUGCACUUUUCGGUUUUACUUUAGCGCAAUUGCCAUGUAUGUAAGGGAUACAAUUAGGCUGAAUAUUGCAAUUGUAGUUUUUUUCUGAACUUUUUCAACAUCCCAGCAUUAGUAAAAUACUCCCCUAUUCCAUAAUGUAAGACGUUUUUGCAAGCUAUAUGUUUGUUAUACAUUAUAUUGCUAGAAAUCAAUAAUUUACUCUUUUUUA